GUCACAUGGAAAUUUAAAACCCACUUUGCCUUUAUUACCAUUCAUCUCUGAGAGGCAAAUCGGCCAGAUCUGUGUAUCUUACUUAGAAUGACUUGACAUUAUGGUUAGGUGCUGUUACUGCAGUGUAGUACUGCAGGUAGUACUUGGCAUGUGAUGCUAGACGGGCUCUGAUUGAAUCCUGGAUCUGUUAUAAUUUGAGUUAUGUUUCUCAACCUCUUCUGAGGACAACUAUUGCUAUACAGGUUAUUGUGAAAACCAAGUAACAUAUAUCAAGGUCCUAUCACCAAGGGUGUGCUCAACAAAUACUAGUUUAUGUCCCCUUCUCAUUGUUUCUCUAAAGGUGUAUAGAAGUGUUUUGAUAAAAGGGAAAAGAAAAAGAAGAAAUUCUGGCAGCAGUGAUAGCAGAAGCCAUCAGAAUUCUCCAACAGAACUAAACAAAGAUAGAACCAGUAGAGACUCCAGUCCAGUCAUGAGGUCAAGCAGCACCUUGCCAGUUCCACAGCCCAGCAGUGCUCCUCCCACACCUACUCGCCUCACAGGUGCCAACAGUGACAUGGAAGAAGAGGAGAGGGGAGACCUCAUUCAGUUCUACAACAACAUCUACAUCAAACAGAUUAAGACAUUUGCCAUGAAGU
rnacentral:sRNA from 1 species